GAAGUUGAGUGAACCGUUCAUUCUGUUUCGAGUCGUCCUAGAAGCACGUUCUUGAGUACUCUAGAAGAUGGACGGCCCAGAGUAAUAUAAAAGCGCCUCUUCAGUCGCGAUAAUGGAAACCAUCUGUAGCAUUUUAAGCAACACGCUCUCGGAUAUAGUUUUCGAUGCGGCGUCACCACAUACUUUGCGAACAGUCGAUAUUCCUUAUAUAAACGUCAAGAAGAGUGGACCGAAUAAUUCAAGGAACCAUUAGAGAGGAACAUCAAUUGCUACCACGCGCGUUUAUUCCUGGCAAUUAGCUGCGAAAGCGACAGAGCUUCGAUGUUUACUCGUCGGAGUAGAAAGGAUGACUGAUCCGGAAACUGUCUAAAUCAAUCAUUUUACGACUUUACAGAGAGCGACCGAUCGCCAUUUCAAAAUUCAAGUCUAUCGGAAAAUAAAUUAAAAAUAGUUGUUGCUUCGUAGGUGUCCCGUGGGGCGUUUAACGGAAUGUUACUAAAACAGUGGUUUAUUUAACUUCUCGUACAUCUUUUUCGUUCAAAUGGAUUUAAAAUUACCGAAAGUAUUAAGUUUGAAGUUUUCACCUGUGGAAAGUGAAGACAACCUUCAAAUUCAUUCAAAGGACUGGCUGUAUAAAAACAAUAAUGAUCUCGCUGAAUAAUCAAUUGACGCUGAUAAAUGAAGAUAAGAAAAAUUAAAAUAAGCUUUAUCUUAUCGAGAAUGUUGUUUAAAAUGAUAUAGACGAUAUACUCCAUUAUCGUGCCUGGGGGGGUGCUUAUAUAUCGUUCCAUCUGCUGGAGUACCUAGAACCUGCAUGGGUGACUAAGAGACUCAGAAUCAACAGCUUGUAUUCCUCUUUAAAGAAUACAAUAAAUUCAAUGA